rnacentral:rRNA from 1 species
ACGGCAGCACGGGAGCAAUCCUGGUGGCGAGUGGCGAACGGGUGAGUAAUAUAUCGGAACGUGCCCAUUAGUGGGGGAUAGCCCGGCGAAAGCCGGAUUAAUACCGCAUACGACCUACGGGUGAAAGCGGGGGAUCGCAAGACCUCGCGCUAUUGGAGCGGCCGAUAUCAGAUUAGCUAGUUGGUGGGGUAAAGGCCUACCAAGGCUACGAUCUGUAGCUGGUCUGAGAGGACGACCAGCCACACUGGGACUGAGACACGGCCCAGACUCCUACGGGAGGCAGCAGUGGGGAAU